rnacentral:rRNA from 1 species
CCUACGGGGGGCAGCAGUGGGGAAUAUUGCACAAUGGGGGAAACCCUGAUGCAGCGACGCCGCGUGAGUGAAGAAGUAUUUCGGUAUGUAAAGCUCUAUCAGCAGGGAAGCAAAAAGACGGUACCUGACUAAGAAGCCCCGGCUAACUACGUGCCAGCAUCCGCGGUAAUACGUAGGGGGCAAGCGUUAUCCGGAUUUACUGGGUGGAAAGGGAGCGUAGACGGUAUGGCAAGUCUUAAGUGAAAGCCCAGGGCUUAACCCUGGGACUGCUUUGGAAACUGUUAGACGAGAGGGCUGGAGAGGUAAGUGGAAGUCCUAGUGUAGCGGUGACAUGCGUAGAUAUUAGGAGGAACACCAGUGGCGAAGGCGGCUUACUGGACAGUAACUGACGUUGAGGCUCGAAAGCGUGGGGAGCAAACAGGAUUAGAUACCCCGGUAGUC